GGGUUUUCUGAGGGCACACAUCUGAAGCAUGUGCACAGAAAGCGGCUGUCACAUGGCAUGUUCCUGCAGAGAAUGUGAUCACACCGUCGAGUCAUUACCAUUCCAUUACACACAUGUACUGUAGGGGGGGAGUGCAUGGGAUGCUUCAUCGAGCUGCUCCCCAUUAUCCUGUGCUCCAUCGUCUCCACACUCCGCCGUUCCCCUUGGAUUCCCUGGAUAAGGAAAAGGACUCGUUAACUCACAGAUAAGAACCAAGAACCCCUACUUCUCCCAAUUUACUUACCUGGAUUCAUUGUCUGCUCUCAUCUACCUGUCAGAGUUCAAUAAAGAUGCUGUUUUAUGCACUUACCUCUGUGUCACCCUGUGUAUUUGCGGACAGAAGACCAGCC
ensembl:lncRNA